UCUUAAGUUGAGGGCCUGUGGUGUCUGGUUUCCUCAAGGACGUCCCGUCUGAAGCGUUGAGAUGGAGGCCUCUGCCCGCGGCACCCUUCGAACAAGUGAAACUAGCACUAAAGAGAAGAACUUUGUUGUUUUCUCUCAAACCUCAUGACGGUGGGCAGAAGAGGAAUGAAUAGAUGUGCAAGUGGUGGGAGCCCGGAAGUUCUGCAUAGGAGGUGUUUAGGAGGAGCA